UACGAAGGGGGCUAGCGUUGCUCGGAAUUACUGGGCGUAAAGGAGCGUAGGCGGAUAGUUUAGUCAGAGGUGAAAGCCCAGGGCUCAACCUUGGAAUUGCCUUUGAUACUGGCUAUCUUGAGUACGGAAGAGGUAUGUGGAACUCCGAGUGUAGAGGUGAAAUUCGUAGAUAUUCGGAAGAACACCAGUGGCGAAGGCGACAUACUGGUCCGUUACUGACGCUGAGGCUCGAAAGCGUGGGGAGCAAACAGG
rnacentral:rRNA from 1 species